rnacentral:rRNA from 1 species
UACGGAGGGUGCAAGCGUUAUCCGGAUUCACUGGGCGUAAAGCGCGUGUAGGCGGUCUCGCAAGUCGGAUGUGAAAGCCCAGGGCUCAACCCUGGAAGUGCACUCGAUACUGCGAGGCUAGAGUCCCGGAGAGGAUGGUGGAACUCUCGGUGUAGAGGUGAAAUUCGUAGAUAUCGAGAAGAACACCGGUGGCGAAGGCGGCCAUCUGGACGGUGACUGACGCUGAGACGCGAAAGCGUGGGGAGCAAA